GGCCCGCUAGCUCAAUUGGCAGAGCAGCGGACUCUUAAUCCGCGGGUUAGAGGUUCGACUCCUCUGCGGGUCACCA
rnacentral:tRNA from 1 species